UACUAUUCCGUACCGGGAAGGAUGAGAAGCUUCGACCAAGGUUCGACUCGAGCGACAGCGAGAGAGCGUUGCCGUCAGGCAACGACCCGAAGGGCGAGGUGCGAAGGACCGAGUAAUCCUUCCCCCACCACCA
rnacentral:sRNA from 1 species